rnacentral:rRNA from 1 species
CCUAUAAUCGUUUUAAUCGAUGGGGGGACGCAGUAGGAUAGGCGAAGCGUGCGAUUGGAUUGCACGUCUAAGCAGUAAGGCUGAGUAUUAGGCAAAUCCGGUACUCGUUAAGGCUGAGCUGUGAUGGGGAGAAGACAUUGUGUCUUCGAGUCGUUGAUUUCACACUGCCGAGAAAAGCCUCUAGAUAGAAAAUAGGUGCCCGUACCGCAAACCGACACAGGUAGUCAAGAUGAGAAUUCUAAGGUGAGCGAGCGAACUCUCGUUAAGGAACUCGGCAAAAUGACCCCGUAACUUCGGGAGAAGGGGUGCUCUUUAGGGUUAACGCCCAGAAGAGCCGCAGUGAAUAGGCCCAAGCGACUGUUUAUCAAAAACACAGGUCUCUGCUAAACCGUAAGGUGAUGUAUAGGGGCUGACGCCUGCCCGGUGCUGGAAGGUUAAGAGGAGUGGUUAGCUUCUGCGAAGCUACGAAUCGAAGCCCCAGUAAACGGCGGCCGUAACUAUAACGGUCCUAAGGUAGCGAAAUUCCUUGUCGGGUAAGUUCCGACCCGCACGAAAGGCGUAACGAUUUGGGCACUGUCUCAACGAGAGACUCGGUGAAAUCAUAGUACCUGUGAAGAUGCAGGUUACCCGCGACAGGACGGAAAGACCCCGUGGAGCUUUACUGUAGCCUGAUAUUGAAAUUCGGCACAGCUUGUACAGGAUAGGUAGGAGCCUUUGAAACGUGAGCGCUAGCUUACGUGGAGGCGCUGGUGGGAUACUACCCUAGCUGUGUUGGCUUUCUAACCCGCACCACUUAUCGUGGUGGGAGACAGUGUCAGGCGGGCAGUUUGACUGGGGCGGUCGCCUCCUAAAAGGUAACGGAGGCGCUCAAAGGUUCCCUCAGAAUGGUUGGAAAUCAUUCAUAGAGUGUAAAGGCAUAAGGGAGCUUGACUGCGAGACCUACAAGUCGAGCAGGGUCGAAAGACGGACUUAGUGAUCCGGUGGUUCCGCAUGGAAGGGCCAUCGCUCAACGGAUAAAAGCUACCCCGGGGAUAACAGGCUUAUCUCCCCCAAGAGUUCACAUCGACGGGGAGGUUUGGCACCUCGAUGUCGGCUCAUCGCAUCCUGGGGCUGUAGUCGGUCCCAAGGGUUGGGCUGUUCGCCCAUUAAAGCGGUACGCGAGCUGGGUUCAGAACGUCGUGAGACAGUUCGGUCCCUAUCCGUCGUGGGCGUAGGAAAUUUGAGAGGAGCUGUCCUUAGUACGAGAGGACCGGGAUGGACAUACCUCUGGUGUACCAGUUGUCGUGCCAACGGCAUAGCUGGGUAGCUAUGUGUGGACGGGAUAAGUGCUGAAAGCAUCUAAGCAU